CGCACACACAGGGCCACUUGGCUAUUAUAAUAUAGAUUCUUUAAUUUUAAUAACAUACAAGAUGAGAGCACUUUUUUUUAAGUUAUUGCGUUAAACUGAUCAACCCAUUGGUUCGUUAACUCCCUGCAUUUUACAGCUAGUCCAAAGCCUAGGAAUAAGGAUCUAAGUGAGAAGGAAGAUUAAAUCCUGAACGCCGUCUUCUGUUGCAAAAGAAGUGAGUUGUAACCAUCUCUCAUAAAACGAAAUGCAAAUUAAAAUACGUCUCACUAGUUCAAUCGAGUGUAAAGAUUAAUGGUGUAAAACAGAAAAUCCUCACAUUUCUAAGCAGCGAUCAGAGAAUGUUUUACUUUUUCUUUUAGAAAAAAACUUUCAGGUUUUUGUUGAUUGAUCGAGUCUCACUGCUCACGUUCAGGCUCCUUGAACAAACUGAUGGCAAUAAGAGCUUCUUGUAGUUAAGAUCGGAUCUUUAUUUUGAAUAAAAUGCACAUUAAAAUAAGAAAGGACAUGAGCACACAAAGCUGAGGUGCAGUAUUUUUGUACUAGCCUUCAUUGCCGCAGAGUGACAGGUUGUGUGGUGUUUCCAUUCUCUGCUUUCGUUUAAA